rnacentral:rRNA from 1 species
GAUGAACGCUAGCGGGAGGCCUAACACAUGCAAGCCGAGCGGUAUUGUUUCUUCGGAAAUGAGAGAGCGGCGGACGGGGGCGUAACACGUGUGCAACCUGCCUUUAUCUGGGGGAUAGCCUCUCGAAAGGACGAUUAAUAAUCCAUAAUAUGUGGAACGGAAUGGUUUAAUAUUUAAAGCUCCGGCGGAGAGACAUGGGAACGCGCAAGGUUAGUUAGUUGGUGAGGUAACGGGUCACCAAGUCGAUGAUCUUUAGGGGGCUUGAGAGUGGUGAUCCCCCACGCUGGUACUGGGACACGGACCAGACUCCUACGGGAGGCAGCAGUGAGGAAUAUUGGACAAUGGGUGCAAGCCUGAUCCAGCCAUCCCGCGUGAAGGACGACUGCCCUAUGGGUUGUAAACUUCUUUUGUAUAGGGAUAAACCUACCCUAGUGAGGGUAUCUGAAGGUACUAUACGAAUAAGCACCGGCUAACUCCGUGCCAGCAGCCGCCGUAAAAC